UCUAUAGGCAGGCGCAGACGACGGACAGAUACAUUCGUAAAAACCUGUUUUUAGGAUUCAUGGGGUCUUGAAACGUGGGAAUUACAUAAACAGUGAAGAGGAGCAUUAGUCCAGCAUGCGUGCACACGAAUCUUCUAAAAAGAACAAUAAGUGAUCCUAAUAUAGAAAAAGAGAUUUCAAAAAUGAUUGGAUUAGAAGCAGAGGAUAUUGCAAAUUCUGCUGUUUAUGUGUUGAGUACACCUCCGCGUGUUCAAGUAACGGAACUAACAAUUAAAGCACUUGGGAGCCUUCAAUAAAUUACCGCAAAAUGGGGCUAAUAAGCAUUCCCCUUUUUUUCGUUCUUUUUUUUUCUUAUAUUAAAAUUCAAGAAGGAAUUCAAAUCAGAGAUUAAAAGCUCACAGUAGUUCAAUAAUUUAAUCGUAAUCAAAAUAAGGGAUUUUUCGUUCGGUUUAUAAUCAAAUACGUUGAGCCGCCUUUCUCCGCAAAAACAAAACUUGUUUCAAAAAUUAUUCUUCAGAACGAAAACUAUAUUGUAUUCAUGUGAAAAUUUGCAUAAAUAAUUAAAAAUGUAUAAUGGUAUAAGUUUUCAUCGUAAUUAAAAAAUACCUAUUGUUAGAAGAAACUGUAGAAUAAUCAUUUAUAUUAGAUAUUAACACUAUAAUAUUAGAUAUACAUUAAGAUCAACAAAUUGUCAAAAAUAUAUUUAAAUAAAUUGAAGGUUAAAAGCUGUUUGAAUAU